AUACGUAGGGGGCGAGCGUUGUCCGGAAUGACUGGGCGUAAAGGGCGCGUAGGCGGUUUUUUAAGUUAGGAGUGAAAGUCCGGCUUUUAAGGGUGGAAUUUCUUUUAAUACUGGAGAACUUGAGUGCGGAAGAGGUAAGUGGAAUUCCCAGUGUAGCGGUGAAAUGCGUAGAGAUUGGGAGGAACACCAGUGGCGAAGGCGACUUACUGGGCCGUAACUGACACUGAGGCGCGAAAGCGUGGGGAGCGAACAGGAUUAGAUACCCUGGUAGUCCACGCGGUAAACGAUGAAUGCUAGGUGUAGGGGGUAUCGACCCCUUCUGUGCCGGAGUAAACGCAAUAAGCAUUCCGCCUGGGGAGUACGGCCGCAAGGUCGAAACUCAAAUGAAUUGACGGGG
rnacentral:rRNA from 1 species